UACGUAGGGGGCAAGCGUUGUCCGGAUUUAUUGGGCGUAAAGAGCUCGUAGGUGGUUUGGUAAGUCGGAUGUGAAAUCUCCAGGCUCAACCUGGAGGGGUCAUUCGAUACUGCCAUGACUAGAGGUCGGUAGGGGAGUGUGGAAUUCCUGGUGGAGCGGUGAAAUGUGCAGAUAUCAGGAGGAACACCCGUAGCGAAGGCGGCACUCUGGGCCGAUUCUGACACUGAGGAGCGAAAGCGUGGGGAGCGAACAGG
rnacentral:rRNA from 1 species